UACGUAGGGUGCGAGCGUUGUUCGGAAUCAUUGGGCGUAAAGAGCGCGUAGGCGGUCCGGUAAGUCCGCUCUGAAAGUCCGGGGCUCAACCCCGGGAGGCGGGCGGAUACUGUCGGGCUAGAGUCCGGAAGAGGCGAGUGGAAUUCCUGGUGUAGCGGUGAAAUGCGCAGAUAUCAGGAGGAACACCAAUGGCGAAGGCAGCUCGCUGGGACGGUACUGACGCUGAGGCGCGAAAGCGUGGGGAGCAAACAGG
rnacentral:rRNA from 1 species